rnacentral:misc_RNA from 1 species
AACAAUUGCCACGAAAAACAUAUGUGCUGUUUACGGAGAAAAUGCGUUUUCAUCUCGCACCUGUAGAAAGUGGUUCCAACAUUUUACAGCUGGGAAUUUCUGUUUGGAAGACGAGAAACGCUCCGGGCGUCCUCCUCAGACAGACGAAGAUAAAAUUCGGGAUCUUGUUGAAAAAUCACGAAGUUUGACAGUUCAAGAGAUGUCAAAUGUUCUGAAAAUACCUAAGACAACGAUUCAUAGGUAUAUAAACAAUCUUACAUAUAUAACCGCUCAAAAAACGGAACGAACUUACGG